GACGAACGCUGGCGGCGUGCUUAACACAUGCAAGUCGAGCGGAAAGGCCCUUCGGGGUACUCGAGCGGCGAACGGGUGAGUAACACGUGAGUAACCUGCCCCAGACUUUGGGAUAACCCUCGGAAACGGGGGCCAAUACCGGAUACGACACAGCUUCGCAUGGGGUCCGUGUGGAAAGUUUUUCGGUUUGGGAUGGGCUCGCGGCCUAUCAGCUUGUUGGUGGGGUGAUGGCCUACCAAGGCGACGACGGGUAGCCGGCCUGAGAGGGCGACCGGCCACACUGGGACUGAGACACGGCCCAGACUCCUACGGGAGGCAGCAGUGGGGAAUAUUGCACAAUGGGCGGAAGCCUGAUGCAGCGACGCCGCGUGAGGGAUGACGGCCUUCGGGUUGUAAACCUCUUUCAGCAGGGACGAAGCGUAAGUGACGGUACCUGCAGAAGAAGCGCCGGCCAACUACGUG
rnacentral:rRNA from 1 species